UACGUAGGGCGCAAGCGUUAUCCGGAAUUAUUGGGCGUAAAGGGCUCGUAGGCGGUUUGUCGCGUCGGGAGUGAAAACCCAGGGCUUAACCCUGGGCUGGCUUUCGAUACGGGCAGACUAGAGGUAUGCAGGGGAGAACGGAAUUCCUGGUGUAGCGGUGAAAUGCGCAGAUAUCAGGAGGAACACCGGUGGCGAAGGCGGUUCUCUGGGCAUUACCUGACGCUGAGGAGCGAAAGUGUGGGGAGCGAACAGG
rnacentral:rRNA from 1 species